rnacentral:rRNA from 1 species
CACGUAGGGGACGAGCGUUGUCCGGAUUUAUUGGGCGUAAAGAGCUCGUAGGUGGUUCGGUAAGUCGGAUGUGAAAUCUCCAGGCUCAACCUGGAGGGGUCAUUCGAUACUGCCGUGACUAGAGGUCGGUAGGGGAGUGUGGAAUUCCUGGUGGAGCGGUGAAAUGCGCAGAUAUCAGGAGGAACACCCGUAGCGAAGGCGGCACUCUGGGCCGAUACUGACACUGAGGAGCGAAAGCGUGGGGAGCGAACAGG